AUGGCCCUGAGCAGAACCGCGAUGAGCGUGUCUUUCCUCGUAGCCGUCGUGGUGGCAGCCGCAGCAGUGCCGGCGGCUACCGCUCAAGCCCCAUGCGACAGCGCUUGCCGUCUCAAGAAGGCGGCGGAGGCUUUUGCUGCCGCCCCGCCCACCGAGAAGGCCGCCGCGGUCGAGAUCUUGAGCAACAAGACUGAAGGUGCCGUCUCCUCCGCCGAGUCCGCUAACCAGGCUGCUGGGCUGGCCACCCACUGCCUAGACGACUGCAACAAGCUCUGCGGCGCAGGCAAGAAAGACCUCGCGUGCAGCGCAAGGUGCGAGACCAUCUGCCGCGUCGAAGUCGAGAGCCUCUCCUUCGCCGCCGACGUGUACGCCAAGAGCUCGGCGUCGGAGAAGACGGCCGUGAUUCAAGCCAUCGACAAGCAGGCCGCCCAGCCCAGCGACAAGAUCAACGCGAUCGCUGCCACCUGCAUCGGCGAGUGCGGCAAGUUCUGCAGCGAGGGCAAGAAAGACCCUGCUUGCGCCACCAUUUGCGAGGACGGUUGCCGUGGCAGAGCCGUGAGCGUUGCCUUCGCUUUGGCCGCUCCCGACAAGAAAGAGACCAUCAAGAAAGACAUCGCAGCCGUCGCAGGACCUAAAUAA
rnacentral:rRNA from 1 species